rnacentral:rRNA from 1 species
UACGUAGGUGGCAAGCGUUGUUCGGAAUUAUUGGGCGUAAAGCGCGCGCAGGCGGCUUCUUAAGUCUGAUGUGAAAUCUCGGGGCUCAACCCCGAGCGGCCAUUGGAAACUGGGGAAGCUUGAGUACAUAAGAGGAGAGUGGAAUUCCACGUGUAGCGGUGAAAUGCGUAGAUAUGUGGAGGAACACCAGUGGCGAAGGCGACUCUCUGGUCUGUAACUGACGCUGAGGCGCGAAAGCGUGGGGAGCAAACAGG